GAUUGAACGCUGGCGGCAUGCCUUACACAUGCAAGUCGAACGGCAGCACGGGUGCUUGCACCUGGUGGCGAGUGGCGAACGGGUGAGUAAUACAUCGGAACAUGUCCUGUAGUGGGGGAUAGCCCGGCGAAAGCCGGAUUAAUACCGCAUACGAUCUACGGAUGAAAGCGGGGGACCUUCGGGCCUCGCGCUAUAGGGUUGGCCGAUGGCUGAUUAGCUAGUUGGUGGGGUAAAGGCCUACCAAGGCGACGAUCAGUAGCUGGUCUGAGAGGACGACCAGCCACACUGGGACUGAGACACGGCCCAGACUCCUACGGGAGGCAGCAGUGGGGAAUUUUGGACAAUGGGCGAAAGCCUGAUCCAGCAAUGCCGCGUGUGUGAAGAAGGCCUUCGGGUUGUAAAGCACUUUUGUCCGGAAAGAAAUCCUUGGCUCUAAUACAGUCGGGGGAUGACGGUACCGGAAGAAUAAGCACCGGCUAACUACGUGCCAGCAGCCGCGGUAAUACGUAGGGUGCGAGCGUUAAUCGGAAUUACUGGGCGUAAAGCGUGCGCAGGCGGUUUGCUAAGACCGAUGUGAAAUCCCCGGGCUCAACCUGGGAACUGCAUUGGUGACUGGCAGGCUAGAGUAUGGCAGAGGGGGGUAGAAUUCCACGUGUAGCAGUGAAAUGCGUAGAGAUGUGGAGGAAUACCGAUGGCGAAGGCAGCCCCCUGGGCCAAUACUGACGCUCAUGCACGAAAGCGUGGGGAGCAAACAGGAUUAGAUACCCCUGGUAGUCCACGCCCUAAACGAUGUCAACUAGUUGUUGGGGAUUCAUUUCCUUAGUAACGUAGCUAACGCGUGAAGUUGACCGCCUGGGGAGUACGGUCGCAAGAUUAAAACUCAAAGGAAUUGACGGGGACCCGCACAAGCGGUGGAUGAUGUGGAUUAAUUCGAUGCAACGCGAAAAACCUUACCUACCCUUGACAUGGUCGGAAUCCUGCUGAGAGGCGGGAGUGCUCGAAAGAGAACCGGCGCACAGGUGCUGCAUGGCUGUCGUCAGCUCGUGCCGUGAGAUGUUGGGUUAAGUCCCGCAACGAGCGCAACCCUUGUCCUUAGUUGCUACGCAAGAGCACUCUAAGGAGACUGCCGGUGACAAACCGGAGGAAGGUGGGGAUGACGUCAAGUCCUCAUGGCCCUUAUGGGUAGGGCUUCACACGUCAUACAAUGGUCGGAACAGAGGGUUGCCAACCCGCGAGGGGGAGCUAAUCCCAGAAAACCGAUCGUAGUCCGGAUUGCACUCUGCAACUCGAGUGCAUGAAGCUGGAAUCGCUAGUAAUCGCGGAUCAGCAUGCCGCGGUGAAUACGUUCCCGGGUCUUGUACACACCGCC
rnacentral:rRNA from 1 species